AUAAAAUUAUCAUUUGAAUUUGGGAUGGGCCCAGUUGCCAAUUUGAGAAUAUUAUUUUGGGUAUAUUGAACCACAGCGAAAAUUUGAAGCCCUUUCCUUGAGCUCUCGACUCUCGUGGCCACUUAUGGUACAGCGAAUAGAAGCUUCUAGCAAUGGCCAUGGCAGAGCACUGCAUCUCAGUUUGGAAGGGAUGAUCGUAAUCUUCGACGCACCAGAUCCAGAUGGAGUCCUAGCAUAGUUGCAGGAGCAGCGUAUUGGAGUGGGUAUUGGCGGUGGGUGAAUGAGGAUACCAUUCCAAUGAUGAAAGAUGAAGCAUGAAGCCGGAGAAGAAGAAGAGUUUUCUCAGUUUCGGCGACGGGAAAGUGUACACCGUCCUCUGCCAAUUGUGUGAGCACCUGAAGAAGUGAAAA